CGUGUUUAGUCUGUUCCUGCAAAUACAAUGACGCUUAUGCGGUAUAGGGUACUUAUUGGACUGUUUAAAUGGCAAAAGUAUUCAUAGGUCAGUACAGCCGCGGCUUACGAAGGACAAGAGCCGGUAAAGCAGCCUCGGAUGUCAGUGAAAUGUGCGCCAGCUCGGCUCCCAUCUUCACCUGGAAGAAUCGGGGAAAGAAACAGGACUGGAACACUGAGAGGAUGAGUACAUGAUGACAAGCUUUCAUUAUGUUCAUUACUGGGUGAAGUAGUUGUUUCCAUCCUUUUUAUGGAACAGCAAUGAGAUUGAGAUGCUUUUACUCAAAAUACCUUUUUAUUUAUUUAUUUAUUUAUUG
ensembl:lncRNA